rnacentral:rRNA from 1 species
CUAUGUGUUGUUGGGUAGGGGAGCGUUCUGUAAGCCUGCGAAGGUGUGCUGUGAGGCAUGCUGGAGGUAUCAGAAGUGCGAAUGCUGACAUAAGUAACGAUAAAGCGGGUGAAAAGCCCGCUCGCCGGAAGACCAAGGGUUCCUGUCCAACGUUAAUCGGGGCAGGGUGAGUCGACCCCUAAGGCGAGGCCGAAAGGCGUAGUCGAUGGGAAACAGGUUAAUAUUCCUGUACUUGGUGUUACUGCGAAGGGGGGACGGAGAAGGCUAUGUUGGCCGGGCGACGGUUGUCCCGGUUUAAGCGUGUAGGCUGGUUUUCCAGGCAAAUCCGGAAAAUCAAGGCUGAGGCGUGAUGACGAGGCACUACGGUGCUGAAGCAACAAAUGCCCUGCUUCCAGGAAAAGCCUCUAAGCAUCAGGUAACAUCAAAUCGUACCCCAAACCGACACAGGUGGUCAGGUAGAGAAUACCAAGGCGCUUGAGAGAACUCGGGUGAAGGAACUAGGCAAAAUGGUGCCGUAACUUCGGGAGAAGGCACGCUGAUAUGUAGGUGAAGUCCCUCGCGGAUGGAGCUGAAAUCAGUCGAAGAUACCAGCUGGCUGCAACUGUUUAUUAAAAACACAGCACUGUGCAAACACGAAAGUGGACGUAUACGGUGUGACGCCUGCCCGGUGCCGGAAGGUUAAUUGAUGGGGUCAGCGCAAGCGAAGCUCUUGAUCGAAGCCCCGGUAAACGGCGGCCGUAACUAUAACGGUCCUAAGGUAGCGAAAUUCCUUGUCGGGUAAGUUCCGACCUGCACGAAUGGCGUAAUGAUGGCCAGGCUGUCUCCACCCGAGACUCAGUGAAAUUGAACUCGCUGUGAAGAUGCAGUGUACCCGCGGCAAGACGGAAAGACCCCGUGAACCUUUACUAUAGCUUGACACUGAACAUUGAGCCUUGAUGUGUAGGAUAGGUGGGAGGCUUUGAAGUGUGGACGCCAGUCUGCAUGGAGCCGACCUUGAAAUACCACCCUUUAAUGUUUGAUGUUCUAACGUUGACCCGUGAUCCGGGUUGCGGACAGUGUCUGGUGGGUAGUUUGACUGGGGCGGUCUCCUCCUAAAGAGUAACGGAGGAGCACGAAGGUUGGCUAAUCCUGGUCGGACAUCAGGAGGUUAGUGCAAUGGCAUAAGCCAGCUUGACUGCGAGCGUGACGGCGCGAGCAGGUGCGAAAGCAGGUCAUAGUGAUCCGGUGGUUCUGAAUGGAAGGGCCAUCGCUCAACGGAUAAAAGGUACUCCGGGGAUAACAGGCUGAUACCGCCCAAGAGUUCAUAUCGACGGCGGUGUUUGGCACCUCGAUGUCGGCUCAUCACAUCCUGGGGCUGAAGUAGGUCCCAAGGGUAUGGCUGUUCGCCAUUUAAAGUGGUACGCGAGCUGGGUUUAGAACGUCGUGAGACAGUUCGGUCCCUAUCUGCCGUGGGCGCUGGAGAACUGAGGGGGGCUGCUCCUAGUACGAGAGGACCGGAGUGGACGCAUCACUGGUGUUCGGGUUGUCAUGCCAAUGGCACUGCCCGGUAGCUAAAUGCGGAAGAGAUAAGUGCUGAAAGCAUCUAAGCACGAAACUUGCC